AUUGAACGCUGGCGGCAGGCUUAACACAUGCAAGUCGAGCGGAGAUGAGGUGCUUGCGCCUUAUCUUAGCGGCGGACGGGUGAGUAAUGCUUAGGAAUCUGCCUAUUAGUGGGGGACAACAUUCCGAAAGGAAUGCUAAUACCGCAUACGCCCUACGGGGGAAAGCAGGGGAUCUUCGGACCUUGCGCUAAUAGAUGAGCCUAAGGCGGAUUAGCUAGUUGGUGGGGUAAAGGACUACCAAGGAGCCGAUCUGUAGCGGGUCUGAGAGGAUGAUCCGCCACACUGGGACUGAGACACGGCCCAGACUCCUACGGGAGGCAGCAGUGGGGAAUAUUGGACAAUGGGCGGAAGCCUGAUCCAGCCAUGCCGCGUGUGUGAAGAAGUCCUUUUGGUUGUAAAGCACUUUAAGCGAGGAGGAGGCUACCUGGAUUAAUACUCUAGGAUAGUGGACGUUACUCGCAGAAUAAGCACCGGCUAACUCUGUGCCAGCAGCCGCCGUAAUAC
rnacentral:rRNA from 1 species